AAUAAGUGUUGUUUAUAUUUAACGUUUGAUCGUUCGUCUUAUUUAAAAUUUUUUUAUGAUUAGUUUUUUAUUGUUAUUAGAUGAUAAAACAUGAAUAAUACUUUAUGUGUGACUAUUUUUUUAUUUUUUUUAAAUAAGACGGACGGUUAAAUGUUGAAUAUAGAUACCUACGUCUGUACUUAUU
rfam:Oryza nivara chromosome 9, whole genome shotgun sequence.